ensembl:lncRNA
UGUAAAGUCAUCAUCGCAAUAGCCUUAGAUGAUAACAGCCUACAGGUCAUGUUGCAAUUGGUGGCUUUCUUGCAUCCAGCUCAUCCUAUCCAUGAAGGUUUCCUAGCUUCCAUUCCAGCGGGUAGGAGGGUCUCCUUAGCCUUUAUCUUUCCAUCUCAAUUAGCACUUUAUGUUGCCCUACAGUCUGGUUCCCGUCUUAUUUUUGAGCGUUAGAGCCGGCUCUGUAAUCGUCUGUGUCUAGAGGCUUCUUUUUCCUGCACUGCCAAGGGUGAGCAUAGGAAAACCUGGGCUCAGAUGGUUGUUCUCAGCAGAAGCGCUGCCGUGGGAGAGGCCUGGUGCAGCCAGCAGUUUCGGGCUGUUUAAUCUCUUACAGCAAAGCAACAUGAGGAAUUUCUGAAAUGUAAGGAGAGGAGAAAUAUUACUGAUAUGUCGAUGUAAGAAAGGCACAAGGACUUCUCAUUUUUAGCUGUGAAAUUGAGAAUGCAAACGGAAGCACUGUCCUUGGGAAUAAGAACACACGUAAGGCAGGCGUGGUCCCGCCUGUUACUCUUUUCCACCCGUGUAUGUUCUGCCAUCCUAAGAGGGACUCUCUUGGAAACACCGUUUCACCUGAGACUCUCUUUCUUGCCAUCCUCGACCACAGCCUCGCCAUGGCAGUCGAGGUGAACGGGGCGACCAAAGCCUCCACCACCCAUGUACUGGACUCUCCGUCAAGAAAGCGACCCUGAGUCAGAUUGAUUCCUGCGGUGUUGGAGUCCCGCCGUCAAGAGGGCGGCUGGUGGCCUGCGUGAAAGGAGACUCCCUCGGGGCUCACAGCUGCCCCCUCGGCUCCAGACUCCCACGCAGCUGGAGGCUCAGCUGCCCCCAUCCUCUUCUCUGAUUCUUGGGCUGUCGUCUGAACCCCUGCUCCUGUGUGAAGUCCUCAGGCGGGGACACUGACUUCUGUCUUUGUAUUCCCGAAGCUUGGUGCCUUCUAACCAGGAAGAGAAGCGGCUCACCUUACAGAUAUCUUUUUUCUUGUUUAUUCCAGCGUUUUAUUCUACAUGCUUGCACACAUACACACCUCACCCUUGGCCCGUUGCGUAAUAUUUUCUUAAUGCAUUCCUUUAUUUUUUAUUCUUAUUUGAGUUAUUUCUUUUUACUAAUGAAUGUAUUUAAAUCUCCCCAUUCACCUUAACAUUAUGCAAAGACCAUUUAUGCUGAAAAUGACCGCACAGAAGAAAAGGAGAAGAUAGGGUAAAGACGAUUUCAAAUGCCAAGACAAGGGCAUUCAACUUAGAAUCAAUGAAACUAUACAACUGGUAUUUUAUAGUUCGUAGACGCAUACAUAUUUUGUUCUGAUCUACAUAUUUUAUUCUUAUCUAAACAGUGGAAACACUAAAU